rnacentral:rRNA from 1 species
CGGUGGAGCAUGUGGUUUAAUUCGAUGCAACGCGAAGAACCUUACCUGGGCUUGACAUCCCGGGAAUCCCUUGGAAACAAGGGAGUGCCCUCGGGGAACCUGGAGACAGGUGCUGCAUGGCUGUCGUCAGCUCGUGUCGUGAGAUGUAGGGUUAAGUCCCGCAACGAGCGCAACCCUUGUCUUUAAUUGCCAUCAUUGAGUUGGGCACUUUAAAGAGACUGCCGGUGUUAAACCGGAGGAAGGUGGGGAUGACGUCAAGUCCUCAUGGCCUUUAUGCCCAGGGCUACACACGUGCUACAAUGGGUGGUACAAAGAGCAGCCAGCUCGCGAGAGUGAGCAAAUCUCAAAAAGCCAUCCCCAGUUCGGAUUGGAGUCUGCAACUCGACUCCAUGAAGUUGGAAUCGCUAGUAAUCGCGGAUCAGCAUGCCGCGGUGAAUACGUUCCGGCCUU